rnacentral:tRNA from 1 species
AGGAACUAUGUUGAAACGGCAUCAUACAGGUUGUGGCACCUGAGUUGUGGGUUCGAAUCCCACGAACUUCCUA